GACGAACGCUGGCGGCGUGCCUAAUACAUGCAAGUUGAGCGCUGAAGGUUGGUACUUGUACCAUCUGGAUGAGCAGCGAACGGGUGAGUAACGCGUGGGGAAUCUGCCUUUGAGCGGGGGACAACAUUUGGAAACGAAUGCUAAUACCGCAUAAAAACUUUAAACACAAGUUUUAAGUUUGAAAGAUGCAAUUGCAUCACUCAAAGAUGAUCCCGCGUUGUAUUAGCUAGUUGGUGAGGUAAAGGCUCACCAAGGCGGUGAUACAUAGCCGACCUGAGAGGGUGAUCGGCCACAUUGGGACUGGGACACGGCCCAAACUCCUACGGGAGGCAGCAGGAGGGAAUCUUCGGCAAUGGACGAAAGUCUGACCGAACAAAGCCGCGUGAGGGAAGAAGGUUUUCGGGUCGUAAAACUCUGUUGGUAGGGAAGAAAGUUGGUGAGAGUGGAAAGCUCAUCAAGUGACGGUAACUACCCAGAAAGGAACGGCUAACUACGUG
rnacentral:rRNA from 1 species